rnacentral:tRNA from 1 species
GGAGUUGUGGCUCAGUGGUAGAGCACUCACCUCACACAGGUGAGAUACUGGGUUUGAUCCUCAGCACCA